UACGGGGGGGGCAAGCGUUGUUCGGAAUUACUGGGCGUAAAGGGCUCGUAGGCGGCCAACUAAGUCAGACGUGAAAUCCCUCGGCUUAACCGGGGAACUGCUUCCGAUACUGGAUGGCUUGAGGUUGGGAGAGGGAUGCGGAAUUCCAGGUGUAGCGGUGAAAUGCGUAGAUAUCUGGAGGAACACCGGUGGCGAAGGCGGCAUCCUGGAGCAAUUCUGACGCUGAGUGAGCGAAAGCCAGGGGAGCAAACGGG
rnacentral:rRNA from 1 species